CCUACGGGUGGCAGCAGUGGGGAAUAUUGGACAAUGGGCGAAAGCCUGAUCCAGCCAUGCCGCGUGUGUGAAGAAGGCCUUCGGGUUGUAAAGCACUUUCAGUGGGGAAGAAAGCCUUGGGGCUAAUACCCUCGAGGAAGGACAUCACCCACAGAAGAAGCACCGGCUAACUCCGUGCCAGCAGCCGCGGUAAUACGGAGGGUGCGAGCGUUAAUCGGAAUUACUGGGCGUAAAGCGCGCGUAUGCGGUCUGAUAAGCCGGUUGUGAAAGCCCCGGGCUCAACCUGGGAACGGCAUCCGGAACUGUCAGGCUAGAGGGCAGGAGAGGAAGGUAGAAUUCCCGGUGUAGCGGUGAAAUGCGUAGAGAUCGGGAGGAAUACCAGUGGCGAAGGCGGCCUUCUGGACUGACACUGACGCUGAGGUGCGAAAGCGUGGGUAGCAAACAGGAUUAGAUACCCCAGUAGUC
rnacentral:rRNA from 1 species